GGGUCCGUAGCUCAGUUGGUUAGAGUACCGCCUUGACAUGGCGGGUCGGCGAUUCGAGUUCGCCCGGACCCACCA
rnacentral:tRNA from 1 species